UACAGAGACUGCAAGCGUUAUUCGGAUUCACUGGGCGUAAAGGGUGCGCAGGCGGCCAAGUGUGUGAAGUGUGAAAGCCCGGGGCUUAACCCCGGAAUUGCACCUCAAACUACAUGGCUAGAGCAUUGGAGAGGGUAGCAGAAUUCACGGUGUAGCAGUGAAAUGCGUAGAUAUCGUGAGGAAUACCAGAGGCGAAGGCGGCUACCUGGACAAUUGCUGACGCUCAGGCACGAAAGCGUGGGGAGCAAAAGGG
rnacentral:rRNA from 1 species